UACGUAGGUGGCAAGCGUUGUCCGGAAUUAUUGGGCGUAAAGGGCGUGCAGGUGGAUUCUUAAGUCGUGUGUCUAAGUGCGGUGCUUAACGCCGUAUGGGCGCAGGAAACUGGGGAUCUUGAGUGCAGGAGAGGAAAGCGGAAUUCCCAGUGUAGCGGUGAAAUGCGUAGAUAUUGGGAGGAACACCAGUGGCGAAGGCGGCUUUCUGGACUGUGUCUGACACUGAGGCGCGAAAGCCAGGGGAGCGAAC
rnacentral:rRNA from 1 species